rnacentral:rRNA from 1 species
GUGACGAGUGGCGGACGGGUGAGUAAUGUCUGGGAAACUGCCUGAUGGAGGGGGAUAACUACUGGAAACGGUAGCUAAUACCGCAUAACGUCGCAAGACCAAAGAGGGGGACCUUCGGGCCUCUUGCCAUCAGAUGUGCCCAGAUGGGAUUAGCUAGUAGGUGGGGUAAUGGCUCACCUAGGCGACGAUCCCUAGCUGGUCUGAGAGGAUGACCAGCCACACUGGAACUGAGACACGGUCCAGACUCCUACGGGAAGCAGCAGUGGGGAAUAUUGCACAAUGGGCGCAAGCCUGAUGCAGCCAUGCCGCGUGUAUGAAGAAGGCCUUCGGGUUGUAAAGUACUUUCAGCGGGGAGGAAGGUGUUGUGGUUAAUAACCGCAGCAAUUGACGUUACCCGCAGAAGAAGCACCGGCUAACUCCGUGCCAGCAGCCGCGGUAAUACGGAGGGUGCAAGCGUUAAUCGGAAUUACUGGGCGUAAAGCGCACGCAGGCGGUCUGUCAAGUCGGAUGUGAAAUCCCCGGGCUCAACCUGGGAACUGCAUUCGAAACUGGCAGGCUAGAGUCUUGUAGAGGGGGGUAGAAUUCCAGGUGUAGCGGUGAAAUGCGUAGAGAUCUGGAGGAAUACC